rnacentral:rRNA from 1 species
CCUUCGGUUGGGAAUAACACAGAGAAAUUUGUGCUAAUACCUUAUAAUGUCUUCGGACCAAAGAUUUAUCGCCGAGGGAUGAGCCCGCGUAAGAUUAGGUAGUUGGUGGGGUAAUGGCCUACCAAGCCGACGAUCUUUAGCUGGUCUGAGAGGAUGAUCAGCCACACUGGGACUGAGACACGGCCCAGACUCCUACGGGAGGCAGCAGUGGGGAAUAUUGGACAAUGGGCGAAAGCCUGAUCCAGCAAUGCCGCGUGAGUGAUGAAGGCCUUAGGGUUGUAAAGCUCUUUUACCAGGGAUGAUAAUGACAGUACCUGGAGAAUAAGCUCCGGCUAACUCCGUGCCAGCAGCCGCGGUAAUACGGAGGGAGCUAGCGUUGUUCGGAAUUACUGGGCGUAAAGCGCGCGUAGGCGGUUUCUCAAGUCAGAGGUGAAAGCCCGGGGCUCAACCCCGGAACUGCCUUUGAAACUAGGAGACUAGAAUCUUGGAGAGGUCAGUGGAAUUCCGAGUGUAGAGGUGAAAUUCCGUAGAUAUUCGGAAGAACACCAGUGGCGAAGGCGACU